UACGUAGGGUGCGAGCGUUGUCCGGAAUUAUUGGGCGUAAAGAGCUCGUAGGCGGUUUGUCGCGUCGACUGUGAAAACCUACAGCUUAACUGUGGGCUUGCAGUCGAUACGGGCAGACUUGAGUUCGGUAGGGGAGACUGGAAUUCCUGGUGUAGCGGUGAAAUGCGCAGAUAUCAGGAGGAACACCGGUGGCGAAGGCGGGUCUCUGGGCCGAUAUUGACGCUGAGGAGCGAAAGCGUGGGGAGCAAACAGG
rnacentral:rRNA from 1 species